GGGGUAUUAGCUCAGUUGGUUUAGAGCGCUGCCUUGACAGGGCAGAGGUCACUGGUUCGCCCCGAAGUUUCGGGGCAGUAUGUCCUA
rnacentral:tRNA from 1 species